UUGCUUCUCUUGAGAGCGGCGGACGGGUGAGUAAUGCCUAGGAAUCUGCCUGGUAGUGGGGGAUAACGUCCGGAAACGGACGCUAAUACCGCAUACGUCCUACGGGAGAAAGCAGGGGACCUUCGGGCCUUGCGCUAUCAGAUGAGCCUAGGUCGGAUUAGCUAGUUGGUGGGGUAAUGGCUCACCAAGGCGACGAUCCGUAACUGGUCUGAGAGGAUGAUCAGUCACACUGGAACUGAGACACGGUCCAGACUCCUACGGGAGGCAGCAGUGGGGAAUAUUGGACAAUGGGCGAAAGCCUGAUCCAGCCAUGCCGCGUGUGUGAAGAAGGUCUUCGGAUUGUAAAGCACUUUAAGUUGGGAGGAAGGGCCAUUACCUAAUACGUGAUGGUUUUGACGUUACCGACAGAAUAAGCACCGGCUAACUCUGUGCCAGCAGCCGCGGUAAUA
rnacentral:rRNA from 1 species